rnacentral:rRNA from 1 species
GAUGAACGCUGGCGGCGUGCCUAAUACAUGCAAGUCGAGCGAACGGAUGAGAAGCUUGCUUCUCUGAUGUUAGCGGCGGACGGGUGAGUAACACGUGGAUAACCUACCUAUAAGACUGGGAUAACUUCGGGAAACCGGAGCUAAUACCGGAUAAUAUUUUGAACCGCAUGGUUCAAAAGUGAAAGACGGUAUUGCUGUCACUUAUAGAUGGAUCCGCGCUGCAUUAGCUAGUUGGUAAGGUAACGGCUUACCAAGGCAACGAUGCAUAGCCGACCUGAGAGGGUGAUCGGCCACACUGGAACUGAGACACGGUCCAGACUCCUACGGGAGGCAGCAGUAGGGAAUCUUCCGCAAAGGGCGAAAGCCUGACGGAGCAACGCCGCGUGAGUGAUGAAGGUCUUCGGAUCGUAAAACUCUGUUAUUAGGGAAGAACAUAUGUGUAAGUAACUGUGCACAUCUUGACGGUACCUAAUCAGAAAGCCACGGCUAACUACGUG